GCGAGCGGCGGAUGGGUGAGUAACACGUGGGGAACCUGCCCCUAAGUCUGGGAUACCAUUUGGAAACAGGUGCUAAUACCGGAUAAUAAAGCAGAUCGCAUGAUCAGCUUUUGAAAGGCGGCGUAAGCUGUCGCUAAGGGAUGGCCCCGCGGUGCAUUAGCUAGUUGGUAAGGUAACGGCUUACCAAGGCGACGAUGCAUAGCCGAGUUGAGAGACUGAUCGGCCACAUUGGGACUGAGACACGGCCCAAACUCCUACGGGAGGCAGCAGUAGGGAAUCUUCCACAAUGGACGCAAGUCUGAUGGAGCAACGCCGCGUGAGUGAAGAAGGUUUUCGGAUCGUAAAGCUCUGUUGUUGGUGAAGAAGGAUAGAGGUAGUAACUGGCCUUUAUUUGACGGUAAUCAACCAGAAAGUCACGGCUAACUACGUGCCAGCAGCCGCGGUAAUACGUAGGUGGCAAGCGUUGUCCGGAUUUAUUGGGCGUAAAGCGAGCGCAGGCCGGAAAAAUAAGUCUAAUGUGAAAGCCCUCGGCUUAACCGAGGAACUGCAUCGGAAACUGUUUUUCUUGAGUGCAGAAGAGGAGAGUGGAACUCCAUGUGUAGCGGUGGGAAUGCGUAGAUAUAUGGAAAGAACACCAGUUGGCCGAAGGCGGCCUCUCUGGUCUGCCACUGACGCU
rnacentral:rRNA from 1 species